GNUGACGCUGGCGGCAGGCCUAACACAUGCAAGUCGAGCGGUAACAUUUCUAGCUUGCUAGAAGAUGACGAGCGGCGGACGGGUGAGUAAUGCUUGGGAACAUGCCUUUAGGUGGGGGACAACCAUUGGAAACGAUGGCUAAUACCGCAUAAUGUCUACGGACCAAAGGGGGCUUCGGCUCUCGCCUUUAGAUUGGCCCAAGUGGGAUUAGCUAGUUGGUGAGGUAAUGGCUCACCAAGGCGACGAUCCCUAGCUGGUUUGAGAGGAUGAUCAGCCACACUGGAACUGAGACACGGUCCAGACUCCUACGGGAGGCAGCAGUGGGGAAUAUUGCACAAUGGGCGCAAGCCUGAUGCAGCCAUGCCGCGUGUGUGAAGAAGGCCUUCGGGUUGUAAAGCACUUUCAGUUGUGAGGAAAGGUUAGUAGUUAAUACCUGCUAGCUGUGACGUUAGCAACAGAAGAAGCACCGGCUACUCCGUGCCAGCAGCCGCGGUAAUACGGAGGGUGCGAGCGUUAAUCGGAAUUACUGGGCGUAAAGCGUACGCAGGCGGUUUGUUAAGCGAGAUGUGAAAGCCCCGGGCUCAACCUGGGAACUGCAUUUCGAACUGGCAAACUAGAGUGUGAUAGAGGGUGGUAGAAUUUCAGGUGUAGCGGUGAAAUGCGUAGAGAUCUGAAGGAAUACCGAGGCGAAGGCAGCCACCUGGGCAACACUACGCUCAUGACGAAAGCGUGGGACAAC
rnacentral:rRNA from 1 species